ensembl:lncRNA
UUUUAAUCUUGACUUGAUUAGAUAAAGAUCUGGUACAUGAAGUCAAACAGCAUUAUACUGUAUCAGUCACAAUUCUGCUGUUGUAUUAUUUAUAUUUUGGUUGUACCAGAAGUAAAACCUAUAGUCACAGUCCACCACUCAUGCCACGCUGUGCGUCCCCGCGUGUGGACUUCCUGUUUUAUUUUGAAAUCCGAUCCCAUUUGUCCGUCGUCAGUUCCACUUCUGCUCUUUGUUCGUCUCCUGUGUCCUGUCAGUCAAUCAGUCCCCGUGUGUUUGUACCUCUGUUUCCACCUGGCGCUGUUUUGUCUUUCACUGCGAGUUCCUGCGUCUCUCUGGUUUGACUUCCUGCGGACUCUUGAUUCCUGCGGGCGGCUUCUCUGGAUUUGUUUGGCUGCUAGUUGGACUUCUGGAUCUGACCUGGGCCUUCCUCAAACCCACAGAGACUUUGCUUUUACAACCUCAGACCUCGGCGUCAAUGAAGACAAGGAUCAUUUACUUCAGAUGGAUUUCCUGCGCGAGUAACCUCUUUGAUUGUGGAUCUGUGGAUUGGUCAACUGAUGUAAUGACUUUCUGGUAUAUGCUCACGCACACUUUCACUCCUUUUAAACCAACCAACCACUUUUCCAUCAAACUGUUUUGUCUUGCCUUUCAAAGGCUCGUCUCAGAAAGGAAGAGGACCCAGUAUCUUUAAACCUGUAGAUUAAAUAUAAAUGCUGUUGUGAUCCAUCGCUGUGAUGCUCCCAUAUCUACUCUUUGUUCACCGCGCAUGAAUCAGGAGCUUCUGUCCAGAGCGAGCGAUUGAAAAGGACGAGGCACCGGGCGAGUUGGAGGUAGAUGCAAAGGCCUCACCUCCUCAUGUGACUAUGGAUCAUUAGAUCACACGACGGAACAGUCUGGUGAUUAGUCUCGUUUCAUCACACGGAUCGAUUCCGAAAGAAAAGCAGAGAAUAGAAUUGACUGUUGUUCUUUCCGUCUCAGCAGGAUCAUGUCGCGGAUGUGUAACCGGCUCAGGUCCUCCUGAGGCCUUCACCCUAUUCAACAUUAUCUGACGAGUCAGUCUGUCGGGGCCAAGGAACUCAGUUACUUCUUUAACACCAUCUAAAUUUAUGAAAAUCGAUAAUAAAAAUGAACAAAAGAGCUGUAAAGACUUACAUCGAGGGGGAUGCCGUUCCAUGAGGUUUGAACUCGAAAGAAACUGAGAUCCAGAGUUUGUAAAAUAUUUAAGUCUUUUGAUUAAUAAAUUAUAAGCAGACAAUAACUGUCUCAUCUGAAGGAAGCGAACUUGUAGUUUCUUCCAUCUUCUCUGCUUUUCCAAAUUCUCUUUGUGGAUGAGGAGCGUCCUCGUCGUUACCCGAGGUGAGUGAUUCUGACUCGCGUCUCGACCGCGGCCUGAUGGGAGCAAUGCGAUCGUGGAAACAUUAAACCGAUCACCCAGGUAAUUUGCUUCAUAACACCUGGUUAGGCCGCCGCUCUGAGCAGAGAGAACACGGGGGUGAAACGAUUGGCUGAUCUCAUUAAGGAUGCGACAGUGAGCCGUACGUUUUGAGGGAUGAGCAGCUACUUCAGAGGCAAAGUCCCUCAAAAGUCUUGGAGUUGAUGAAUAAAAACCGUAGUAAAAACCAAAUCAAGAGUGGGGCCUUGUUCAUGUGUGGGAUGUGAUCUACCAGCGAGGUCGUCCACACGACUACUGACGUCUUCGACCGAGAAAAACUGAAAUAAAAACCAGAGACAUCAGAUAAGAAGGAACUGUACUACUGGGUUCAGGGGGCGAUGGUCUUAAUGCUGCCUUCAUGUGCCAGUUGAAAGAUGCUACUUCCCACUUGUGAAGGCGCAAUUAUGAGAAGGUCAUGUUCAAGUGUUGUGUUGUGAAAUGGCAAAAAGGCCAAUGCAAUAACUUUGUACCGCGCUAGCAGACUGUGGUCUGUUUACUAUGGAUAGACCGAUAAAUGGCAUUGGUCUAUAUCAAGUUAGGUGAACAUAGAUUACAGAUUAACAGCUUAUACUUGUCGCACUGUUAUAAAAUAAAGAAGUACGUACCAUCCAUUACUGGAUCUGUCCUCUUCUCCGACAUGUGGAAGGGUUCUGGUCGCCCCAACUGGGGAACUCUGGUCUCCAAAUUAGCAACUCGUAUUUACCAUAGCGUCGAUACCACAUGAAGACACCAGCUCCGCUGAGCUCUCCCUUUCAUUCAGCGCUAAUUGUGACAAUCAUUCCACCGGGACGUCGAGCGGCUCCAUCAGUGCCGUCGCUCCAGUCGCGGCUGCUCCUUCUCCGUUGCUCCGGCCUGAAUCCCCCCGUGGCCGUCGCUCCCCUCAGAGCCUCCCACAUCCCGUCAUCGGGCAGCAGGCGACUGAAGACCAGAUGAGACCAGAUGAGACCAGAUGAGACCAGAUGAGACCAGAUGAGAACAGAUGAGACCAGAUGAGACCAGAUGAGACCAGAUGAGAACAGAUGAGACCAGAUGAGACCAGAUGAGACCAGAUGAGAACAGAUGAGACCAGAUGAGAACAGAUGAGACCAGAUGAGACCAGAUGAGACCAGAUGAGAACAGAUGAGACCAGAUGAGAACAGAUGAGACCAGAUGAGAACAGAUGAGAACAGAUGAGACCAGAUGAGACCAGAUGAGAGCAGAUGAGAACAGAUGAGACCAGAUGAGACCAGAUGAGACCAGAUGAGACCAGAUGAGACCAGAUGAGACCAGAUGAGAACAGAUGAGAACAGAUGAGACCAGAUGAGACCAGAUGAGAGC